rnacentral:rRNA from 1 species
UACGUAGGGCGCGAGCGUUGUCCGGAUUCAUUGGGCGUAAAGAGCGUGUAGGCGGCCAGGUAGGUCGGUUGUGAAAACUGGAGGCUCAACCUUCAGAGGUCGACCGAAACCAUCUGGCUAGAGUCCGGGAGAGGAGAGUGGAAUUCCUGGUGUAGCGGUGAAAUGCGCAGAUAUCAGGAAGAACACCCGUGGCGAAAGCGGCUCUCUGGAACGGUACUGACGCUGAGACGCGAAAGCGUGGGGAGCGAACAGG